GACAGAGGGUGCAAACGUUGUUCGGAAUUACUGGGCGUAAAGCGUGUGUAGGCUGCUACAUAAGUCGGAUGUGAAAGCCCCCGGCUCAACCGGGGAAGUGCAUCUGAAACUGGCGGGCUAGAGUACGAAAGAGGGUCGCGGAAUUCCCGGUGUAGAGGUGAAAUUCGUAGAUAUCGGGAGGAACACCGGUGGCGAAGGCGGCGACCUGGGUCGAUACUGACGCUGAGGUGCGAAAGCGUGGGGAGCAAACAGG
rnacentral:rRNA from 1 species